rnacentral:lncRNA from 1 species
CAGAGCCAGCCCAGAGCCCUGGGUCCCUUGAACAUUCAACUUUCUCCCUCUACACAGACUGCAAAAAUAAGAAUUGGAAGUAGACUCCGGUGAGACACUGGCGGCACGUGUUCUACCACUGAGCUGCACCCUCAGCUUCACAUGCGUUUUGGAGGACACAUUAUCUGUGGCACCAUGGGAGGGUGAUGUCAACAUGGCAAGCUGGCCAUUGCUGAGCAGGUGUUGACAGUGGCUGGAACAGUUUAGGAGCACAACUUGGGAAAGUGAAGUUCAAGUCUAUAGGAAUUUUGCCCUCAUGGAGACUACCUACUGAGACAGGUGGGUUCAAGCUUUCUACCGGAUAAUAGAAAAAACAGAAAUAAGAAAAUAUAAGGACAGGUA